rnacentral:rRNA from 3 species
AGUCGAGCGGAGUUUGAGAGGAAGCUUGCUUCCUUUCAGACUUAGCGGCGGACGGGUGAGUAACACGUAGGCAACCUGCCCUCAAGCCUGGGAUAACUACCGGAAACGGUAGCUAAUACCGGAUAAUUUCUUUCUUCUCCUGAGGAGAGAAUGAAAGGCGGAGCAAUCUGCUGCUUGGGGAUGGGCCUGCGGCGCAUUAGCUAGUUGGUGGGGUAACGGCCCACCAAGGCGACGAUGCGUAGCCGACCUGAGAGGGUGAACGGCCACACUGGGACUGAGACACGGCCCAGACUCCUACGGGAGGCAGCAGU